GGGUUGUGAGGUUAAGUGACUAAGCGUACACGGUGGAUGCCCUGGCAGUCAGAGGCGAUGAAGGACGUGCUAAUCUGCGAUAAGCGUCGGUAAGGUGAUAUGAACCGUUAUAACCGGCGAUUUCCGAAUGGGGAAACCCAGUGUGAUUCGUCACACUAUCAUUAACUGAAUCCAUAGGUUAAUGAGGCGAACCGGGGGAACUGAAACAUCUAAGUACCCCGAGGAAAAGAAAUCAACCGAGAUUCCCCCAGUAGCGGCGAGCGAACGGGGAGGAGCCCAGUGCCUGAAUCAGUGUGUGUGUUAGUGGAAGCGUCUGGAAAGGCGCGCGAUACAGGGUGACAGCCCCGU
rnacentral:rRNA from 1 species